CAGCCGUAAACUAUGCGCGUUAGGUGUACUGGUGACCACGAGUCACCGGGGUGCCGAAGGGAAACCGUGAAACGUGCCGCCUGGGAAGUACGGUCGCAAGGCUGAAACUUAAAGGAAUUGGCGGGGGAGGCACCACAACGGGUGGAGCCUGCGGGUUUAAUUUGGACUCAACGCCGGAAAUCUCACCGGAUAGGACAGACAUAUGAUAGUCGGGCUGAAGACUCUACUUGAUGAUCUGAGAGGAGGUGCAUGGCGUCAGU
rnacentral:rRNA from 1 species